rnacentral:rRNA from 1 species
UACGUAGGGUGCGAGCGUUGUCCGGAAUUAUUGGGCGUAAAGAGCUCGUAGGCGGUGUGUCACGUCGUUCGUGAAAACCUGCAGCUUAACUGUGGGCGUGCGGUCGAUACGGGCAUCACUGGAGUUCGGCAGGGGAGACUGGAAUUCCUGGUGUAGCGGUGAAAUGCGCAGAUAUCAGGAGGAACACCGGUGGCGAAGGCGGCAUCCUGGACCAAUAUUGACGCUGAGGAGCGAAAGCCAGGGGAGCAAACGGG